rnacentral:rRNA from 1 species
UACAUGGGGUGCAAACGUUGCUCGGAAUUACUGGGCGUAAAGGGCUCGUAGGCGGCCAACUAAGUCAUACGUGAAAUCCCUCAGCUUAACUGGGGAACUGCGUGUGAUACUGGAUGGCUUGGAUUUGGGAGAGGGAUGCGGAAUUCCAGGUGUAGCGGUGAAAUGCGUAGAUAUCGAGAGGAACACCUGCGGCGAAGGCGGGUUGCUGGGCCGACACUGACGCUGAUGCGCGAAAGCCAGGGGAGCGAACGGG